GGUAGCCAUGGUUUUUUCUGCAGUUCUAAUUAUCCUCUGAAGUCUGUGUCUGUCUUGUUGGGUUGCAGAGCCAAACCAGACAGUUAGAGAGGUGCAGAUGACAGACUCAAUAGUUCCUCUAUAGAAGACUCUCUGGAACUAACAAGGUUUUCUUCCUCCUAGGUUUAUCAGUUCAUCUGAAGGUCUUCUUUUAACAGGCAUUCCUGCAGAUGAGAUUCAAAGUCCUCUGAACAUAUACCCAAAGUGAAAAAGACGCUUUAUUGAGUCCCGAGAUAACUCUUGAUCUCUCUCGUCGGGAUUGCUAUUUGUGUUUUAAUAAAGAAGGGCAAGUGUGAAGAAUAAAAACUUGUGCAUCUUGCUCUACACACCAUUGCUUCCGAAACAAACUGAAUGAAUCAGAGGCAAAAUUUGAAACGUGGAAAAACAGGAGCAGUUUUCCUCUAACUGAAAAGUCCCUCUCCCUGCCAAUGAUCAACAACAGCGAAGAAGCCAACAUAGGGUUUAAUUAUUCCCUUUAUGGAAGACGCAAUGUAUAUUAUUACAAAAUUACAAGCUAAUAUGCUAUCCGUUCAUUUGGCACCGUUUCAGUCAUGCUGUUAAUUAAAAGCUGGAACCUCUCAAAACCA